AUUAGCCGUUAGGGGUGUCCCGAAUUUUCGGGACUGAGAUUAAACCCUGAAACCUGAUCUGGAUAAUACCAGCGUAGGGAAACGGGCUAAAAGAAUG
rnacentral:ncRNA from 2 species